GGCGAGAUAGCUCAGUUGGUCGAGCAGGGGACUGAAAAUCCCCGUGUCGGGGGUCCGAUUCCCUCUCUCGCCACCA
rnacentral:tRNA from 1 species